AGAUUUGGGAAAUGCCCCUACGGUACCAAACCAAUUGGAAGAUGCUCAACAUUUAGAGUAUGUUGCAAAAGCACCUGGGGUUGAGACCCUGAAAUGUCCAAGCAGGACGUCCCCCUUGCUUCUGGCUCCUGGAACCAUCUCCUGAGGUCCUCUCCCCUCCCUGCCUCUGCCAUGCCCAGCUGCUGGCACAGCAGCAGUGGCAGCUGCUCCUGCUGGGUGCUGCUGGGCUGGAGACAUCUCAUGCCAGCCGUGGGGUCUGUGGGGCAGAGGCUGCUUUUCCCAGCUUGAAUAAAGAUGAGCAGUUUGGCAUUGCA